AAAUAAACUUUGUAGUAAGUUACUGGUUGGUUAUUAAUAACCUUAAGAAUUAGACUGAUGAUUAGGCAGUUUAGUUGAUAACAAUAGGUUGUUAGUAGAAUAAAUGGUUAAGAAUUCAAAGGAUCAUAACCUUUGGAAUCUGCUGGCCAAUGGAUCAUCUUUUUAGUAGGAUAAAUAGGUUGAAGAAAGAGAGAUCAAAGCCAGAUUGUAAGAGUUGUAAGCCGAGAGCCAGACUGUGAGAGUUAUAAGCCAAGGUAAACUUAGUGCUACCUCUUUGUUUUCUUUGCUUUUAUUAUUUUCUUAUGAAGAAUUGUGAUUGAGAGAAGUAUUAUUGAAUUGAUAGUCAUAGAAUGGAUUAUGUGUUGAAUUAAGAUGGAAAAAGUAAGCCUUGGUGUUUUGUAGUUUGAUAAUUGAUUUCAGAUAGCCAGAGUACAGUC
rnacentral:lncRNA from 1 species